rnacentral:rRNA from 1 species
UACGGAGGGUGCGAGCGUUGUUCGGAAUCACUGGGCGUAAAGCGCGUGUAGGCCGUCCGCUAAGUCUGGCGUGAAAGCCCGGGGCUCACCCCCGGAAGUGCGCUGGAAACUGGCGGACUCGAGUCCCGGAGAGGAGGGUAGAAUUCCUGGUGUAGCGGUGAAAUGCGUAGAUAUCAGGAGGAAUACCGGUGGCGAAGGCGGCCCUCUGGACGGUGACUGACGCUGAGACGCGAAAGCGUGGGGAGCAAACAGG